ensembl:lncRNA IER5L-AS1 IER5L antisense RNA 1
GGAAACGCUGUCAAGAUGUCAAAAAUACGCGGAAAGGGAAAAAAGGAAUUGCUACGGAAAGAGAGGUGGGAGAGGAACCCAGUCAAUUUCACCUGCUCCCCUUCCUCCAGGAAGAAUCGGAACCGAAAGCUUAAUAAGUGUGGUUGUUUUGAUAUUCGAAUCAUGAGACCCAAGGCAUCGUAGGGGACCUCGCCUGCAUCCAUUCGCCUAUCCAUCCUACAGCAGCGACUGCACCCCUGAUUGUGAUGACGAAUGCACCCCCAUCCUUGGGCUCCGUGCCCACUGCUGGGCUGGGCUGCUCCCUCAGGUGCGGCAGCCAGAGGAGGUGUGGACUCCCAUCCCACGCGUUUAUCCUCCUGCAGCCUCUCGAGCUUGGUGGCAUAGCCGUCCUUCCAGUCCCCAAGCCAGAUGUCCUUGAUGCCCCUUCUCCCAGCCCCAUCCCCAUCGCCAGUUGUAUCAGUUUUCUAUUGCUACUGUAACAACUCACUACAAAUUGAGUGGCUUAAAACAACACACAUCUACUCUCUUACAGUUCUAUAGGUCAGAAAUCUGACAUGGUCUCAGAGGGCUAAAUUCAAGGUGUCUGCAGGACAGUGUUCCUGCUGGAGGCUCUUGAGGGAGAAUCGGUUUCCUUGCCUUUUCCAAGUAUAGAGGCCGCCCACAUUGGCCCCCUUCCGUCUUCAAAGCCAGCAAUAGCUCCGAGUCUUUCCUCCCUAGCAUCGCUGUGACGCUGACUCUCCUGCCUCCCUCUUCCACAUUUAAGAACCUUGUGAUUACAUUGGUCCUCCCAGAUAAUCCAGAAUAAUCUCCCCAUCGCAAAAUCAGCUGAUUAGCAACCUCAAUUCCACCUGCAACCUUAAUUCUCCCCUGUCAUGAAAUAUAAGAAGGAGAUCCAUAUGUUCCGGGGAUUGGGAUGCAGACAUUUUGGAGGCAUUGUUCUGCCGACCACGCCAUCCUGACAGUUUUACCUCUGGAAUCUCUGCAG